UACGGAGGGGGCUAGCGUUGUUCGGAAUUACUGGGCGUAAAGCGCACGUAGGCGGCUUCUUAAGUCAGGGGUGAAAUCCUGGAGCUCAACUCCAGAACUGCCUUUGAUACUGGGAAGCUUGAGUUCGGGAGAGGUGAGUGGAACUGCGAGUGUAGAGGUGAAAUUCGUAGAUAUUCGCAAGAACACCAGUGGCGAAGGCGGCUCACUGGCCCGAUACUGACGCUGAGGUGCGAAAGCGUGGGGAGCAAACAGG
rnacentral:rRNA from 1 species